rnacentral:rRNA from 1 species
GAUGAACGCUGGCGGCGUGCUUAACACAUGCAAGUCGAACGAAGCACUUUAUUUGAUUUCCUUCGGGACUGAUUAUUUUGUGACUGAGUGGCGGACGGGUGAGUAACGCGUGGGUAACCUGCCUUGUACAGGGGGAUAACAGCUGGAAACGGCUGCUAAUACCGCAUAAGCGCACAGCAUCGCAUGAUGCAGUGUGAAAAACUCCGGUGGUAUAAGAUGGACCCGCGUUGGAUUAGCUAGUUGGUGAGGUAACGGCCCACCAAGGCGACGAUCCAUAGCCGACCUGAGAGUGUGACCGGCCACAUUGGGACUGAGACACGGCCCAAACUCCUACGGGAGGCAGCAGUGGGGAAUAUUGCACAAUGGGCGAAAGCCUGAUGCAGCGACGCCGCGUGAGCGAAGAAGUAUUUCGGUAUGUAAAGCUCUAUCAGCAGGGAAGAUAAUGACGGUACCUGACUAAGAAGCACCGGCUAAAUACGUG